rnacentral:lncRNA from 1 species
AGGGUAUGCCUGCCUUCCUGGAUUGGAUCAGACUGCAUCUGCCUCUUCAUGGCAAGAAUUUCCCUCCUCCUCUCAUUUUCUGGAACAGGACAGUCUAAUGCCACGUAACAAUUUUCCACUUGAAGAUAAACACACAUCUUCCUCAUUCCUAGUGCUCACAUGGAGGAAGAAAGCUCGGCUGUGGGCUGUGACAGUGCAGAACAUAUGUAAAAGUUGUUUAAAGACACAAAAUCGGAGGUGGGCGGAGCAAGAUGGCCGAAUAGGAACAGCUCCAGUCUCCAACUCCCAGCGCGAGCAACACAGAAGACCGGUGAUUUGUGCAUUUUCAACUGAGGUACUGGGUUCAUCUCACUGGGGAGUGCCGGACGAUCGGUGCUGGUCAGCUGCUGCAGCCCGACCAGCGAGAGCUGAAGCAGGGCGAGGCAUUGCCUCACCUGGGAAGCGCAAGGGGGAAGGGAAUCCUUUUCCUAGCCAGGGAACUGAGACACACAACACCUGGAAAAUCGGGUAACUCCCACCCCAAUACUGCGCUUUAAGCAAACAGGCACACCAGGAGAUCAUAUCCCACACCUGGCCGGGAGGGUCCCACACCCACGGAGCCUCCCUCAUUGCUAGCACAGCAGUCUGUGAUCUACCGGCAAGGCAGCAGCAAGGCUGGGGGAGGGGCGCCCGCCAUUGCUGAGGCUUAAGUAGGUAAGCAAAGCUGCUGGGAAGCUCGAACUGGGUGGAGCUCACAGCAGCUCAAGGAAACCUGCCUGUCUCUGUAGACUCCACCUCUAGGGACAGGGCAAUAAAAAAGCAUAGCCGAAACCUCUGCAGGCAUAGCGACUCUGUCUGACAGCUUUGAAGAGAGCAGUGGAUCUCCCAACACGGAGGUUGAGAUCUGAGAAGGGACAGACUCCCUGCUCAAGUGGGUCCCUGACCCCUGAGUAGCCUAACUGGGAGACAUCCCC